UGGCCUGGCCUGGCCUGGCCUGCGGGCACCGGCCGCCCUCCCACCGCCCGGGCCCGGGGCUCGGCCGCCCGCGCCGCGGGGAGGCGAGGCCAGGCGCCGGCGCGGCCCCGCGGGUGCGGCUGGCGGCGGCGGGGCGGGCGGCUCCUGCUGGCUCCCCGGGCAGCUCCCCCGGCCCGCCGCGGGCCUGCCCCGCCUGGCUGCCGAGGGGCCGGUGCGCCCCGGCGCGGGGCGCGGGCAGCCGGUAGCAGCCGCCUCAAGGUCGGGCACGGUACGGCGGCGGGGGCCGGCCUCGCCUGCCCGGGGCGCGGCUGGGCCCGGCCGAGGCGCUCGCCGCCGCUCUGACGUCGCGAUUUCGGCGUCGCCCCCCCGGAUGCCCUCGGUGGCCGGGCGUCGCCCGGGCCGCCGGCUGAGGGACGUUCUGUGGCGGCGGAGCCGUGCGGGGGAAGGGCCGGGCCGAGCGCAGGGUGCGGGGCAGCUGCCCGGGCCGUGGGGCCGGACACGGAAGGGGCAGCAUCAGCGGGUGGGAAGGAGGAUGGGGUGGCUGGCCAGAAGACAGGCAAGGGUACGGAUCAGCCUGCGGAGCGUGUGCCGCCUGCCCCUGCCGAGCUGGACGCUGCGUGGGGCGCGGGACACCAGACACGGAGCGUUUUACCGUCUGUCCGGCCGAGUGGACCAGAGGGCUGGCAGCGCUGUGCGCCUCCGGGGCUGAAAGCCCAGAGACCCGACACACGCUGGGCCUCGAGCACUGCACGUGUGAGCGCCUGGUGUGUGCAUGGCCACGCAGCCGCCUCUCCCCAAAACACCCCAGUUGUUACCAGUACCUUGGUGGAAACCAGCAAACUAGUGUUUGUCAGCCUACAGGUAGGCGUUUGGGACUCCCUACCACCUCUGAGCUGAAAACAGCAUUAGACUCAACUAUUUUCCAGCUGAUGGCCACUUGUUUACUUUUCUGCCUGUUCUGUGCCAGCACUGUGGGACCCUGGAAGGGGUACCUUUAUUGCGUAUUUGCAUUUGAAGAGUUACCCAAUUCAGUUUUCAAAUACAAUAUGUGCUGCUUUUUGAUCAGACAAGUAACUAGUUAGGAUCGGUGAAAAUUGUUAUGGGAAUGAAUAGCAUAAAUCCUAAACCGGUUGACCCUCAAGACACAGUUUUAUGGUUGGCUUAAACCAACAGAAGUCCAUGGGAAUGUCUUGACAGCCCCAUUUCUGCGCAUCUGCUGCUCUUUUACAACUUCAUGGACUGGGGUGGACCUAAGUGGUUUCAGAUCCUCAUUGUCAGGAUGGUUUAAUGCAUCCCAAAACAGCCUCCAUGACACUGCAGCAUGGCAUGGCAUGCUGCCUGUGUGACACAUGCCCUUCUCAGUGUCCCAAACGCAGGUCUGCAUCUUUUCAGCCAUAUGCAAUGUCAGGACACCACUGUGGCAAAUAGUGGCAUGAGGGUUCCUUCACCUUUGAUAGCAGAUGUAGCUGUGCACAUGUGCGAUACAUCCUCUGGAGCCUGAGACCACAGCCACCACCAUGGGCUCAGCAGGCUUCUUCUAAUGCUUGUACACUACCAUGAAACUGCUGUGUUUGAGUGCCCUGAUCUUGUGCCCUUGCAGUGCUCCUCAGCCGCCCGUGCAGGGCCUCUGCACCGCACAUCCCAAGCUUGUAAAAGGAAAGGUGGCGAAGGAGUUACCAGCUCCGGAGUUGCAUGGGUAGAUGCUCCAGGGAUGACAACUCCAAAACUGUGCAUGACUCACCCUCUGUCUUUACUUCCAUGGAAACUGAAUAAUGAAUCAGAAGUGCUUAUUAUUCUCUUCACCUUGCAAGUUGCGUACCUGAGGCACCCAGGCACACAGGGCUGCUGCUGCGCAUCGCUGACGGGUACCUGGCAGUUGUCAGGGUACAGAAGAAGCAAGGGCUGAAGAAGGACUAUUCUGUGACUUCAUGGAAAUCUCCAAGAAAGAAAUGAUUUAUCCAGAAUCUGAGAGCAUUUCUCAGGGGUGAAAAAGAGGUCAUAGGUAAACAGAAAGGGGCCCUCAUUUUCAAGAAAAUGAACGAUGGACUCCCGGUGACUGCAGCAAUCACAGAAGGAACUUGUGAUAGAGCCCAGGGGUGACCUCAGAGGCCACAGAAAUGGCCAGCAUCCAGCCAGGAGCAAUAAUGACCAAGCAAAUCUUACUGCUGGAGCACACUAAGACAAAGCUGGUUCCUCACCGUGGCAUCUCGCUGAACUCCAGAAGCAUUGAGUUUCACUACCCUUGUGCCACAAGACCUGCAUCCCACCAGGCACCACUGAAAUAGCCCUAUGAUUCAGAGGGCCCAGCAGCAGCAGCAGCAGCAGCAGCAGCACUAAAAGCUUUGUGAAUGAUACCCUGUGUGGAGCACAUGCCUCUGAGGAAGCCCUCCAAGCCUCCCCUCACCCUCCGGGGAUGGAAGCUAUGACUCACCGUGAAGCAGAAGGCACUGUUUGUUUGGAUUCAACUCCUGGAUGCUCAUUAGUGUGAAGUGACUAUAAUGGACUAAGUUGCCUUAUGCACUGAAGCUCUCUGGAAUCAUAGUCCUUUCCUUCUGUGUGCCGUGCAUCCUCUUUGCUUCUCUGUCAACGUCACUAAACUCAGUGCUGCCAUUUCCGCCACGUUUCCCAUGGAAGCAAGGCUACUGCUUGCCCUCCUCGGGCAUCCCCUCUCUCACGGGGGCUAUUCCUUGUCCCAGUGACUUUUUAACCUGUUAGCUUAUUUGAGUUAAAUUUGGCAGAAGGACAGAGGUCACAAAAGUAAUUAAGAUCCUUAAUUAAGUAAUUAAGUUUCAUAAAAUAAUUCAUUUGAGAUAGAAGAAAGUGGGGCUGUAUGCCUUACCAGUUCAACUCGGGAACUUGUUGGUUUUUGCUAGGAGACAUCAGAUCUCUUAUGGUGUGGCCAGAUUACCUUCAGGAAGAGGACUCCAAAGGGAAAGCAGAAGAACCUGCGUGUAGGUGUAUGCUGAAAUAACAGAAAGUCUUAACACCAUUCAGUCAAAAAAAUCAAUCUGUUCGGAGAGGGAAAUCCCUAGGAAACUGCAUUCAAUGAGAUCUGUUGCUCAGGGCACUUCCCUUCCCCCUUUGCUCUCCUGUUGUACCUCUGGAAAAUGUCCAGUUUCCCUCCAGCAAUUCUGUAUUUUCAGUGGGAGUGCAAAGAAUGCUGGAUAAAAUCUAACCUCUUGUAGUGUAAGAGAGUAUUAGAGAAAACCUCAGUGAAAGGCAAACGCUGA